AGGAUUAUGUCGGCUGUCUACCCCGUGGGAUGCAGACAGAGACCACGAAGUUACAGAGCCCUCUCCAUCUUCACUCCCCCGUUCAGGGCUCCUGGCUGAGCCCCGACUGUGUGUGAAGUCACGCCCUCUGAAGAGGAGCAUUCGCAUCCACAGCUGACCCCCUAUUUUUAAUGGGACAAAUGGAUUCCUUGAAUGAGCCCUUUCUACCAUCCAAGUGUGGGCCAAGACUUCCGCCCAGGCCUCCUGAUUCCCACAAACACAGCAAGAUUAAGAUUAGGUCAUUUUUCUUUUCUUUUUCUUUUUCUUUUUUUUUUUUUUUUUUUUUUUUUUUUUUGACUGAGUCUUGCUCUGUCAUCCAGGAUAGAGUGCAGUGGCACAAUCUUGGCUCACUG
rnacentral:lncRNA from 10 species